GACGAACGCUGGCGGCGUGCUUAACACAUGCAAGUCGAACGGUAAGGCCCCAGCUUUCUGGGGUACACGAGUGGCGAACGGGUGAGUAACACGUGGGUGACCUGCCCCUCACUUCGGGAUAAGCCUUGGAAACUGGGUCUAAUACCGGAUACGACCGCACCAUGCGGGUGUGGUGGAAAUUUUUGCGGUUUGGGAUGGGCCCGCGGCCUAUCAGCUUGUUGGUGGGGUAAUGGCCUACCAAGGCGGCUACGGGUAGCCGGCCUGCGAGGGUGGACGGCCACAUUGGGACUGAGACACGGCCCAGACUCCUACGGGAGGCAGCAGUGGGGAAUAUUGCACAAUGGGCGGAAGCGUGAUGCAGCGACGCCGCGUGGGGGAUGACGGCCUUCGGGUUGUAAACUCCUUUCACCAUCGACGAAGGUUUUCUGACGGUAGAUGGAGAAGAAGCACCGGCUAACUACGUG
rnacentral:rRNA from 1 species